UGAUUCCUCUCUUAAUUUUAUUGAUAUUAGAAGAGCUUAGUUAUUACUUUAAGUUUUGCUUCGUAGACGUCUUGACCAAGUUAUGCUGCUAUUGUUUGUGUGUAUAGCCUAUCUACUGCUAUCUUGAGGCUUAAAUCAUGAGGCAUUACUGAUGUUAAUGAUGGUUGACUCUGUGGCUGCAUAGGUCUGCUCUGCUGCCUAUUGAACAGAGUUGCUAUGCUGCUGAUUGCUGAUAUGUUCAAAUACAGUCUUGGUUUCUGCUGUGUUGUAAUAAUUGCUCAGAUAUGUUUAGGCUAUUCUUGGCAUUAGGACUGAGAUGCAGGUAAAUCUGUCACCAAUAUUUGGAAGGUGGAAGCUGGGCUUUGCAGAUUGGUAGUCUCGCUGAGGUAGGCAGCUGGUCUGCUCUAUUUGUGAAGGUAAUCUGGCUCCAGUAUUGCUCCAUUGGAAUGAUCUGUCUACUCUGUUGGAAGUUGGAAGCUGGUCUGGCUCCACUGUUGCUCCCUUGGAAUGAUAAAUCAGCAGAUGUUCGUAAAGCAGCUAAAGUAUGCAUUAGUGAAAUUUUCAGAGUCUGUGGUCCUGAUGCAGUGACCAAGAAUUUGAAAGAUAUUUAAGGACCUGCCUUAGCUAUUGUUCUUGAACGACUGAAGCACUCAGGGGCUUUUCAAGAAACAUUUGAAGUGGCUAAAACAAUAUCGAUGGGGCCAUCAUUGAAAAGUGGAUCAAAAGUUCACGAACUAGACGAGUACCCUCCCCAACAUAUUUCUUAACAAGUUCACGAAGCUAAAUUGUACAAGACUACUUGGCAGUAUGAGCAUUUUUGGGAGGAUUAAAUAUUUUUGGAUGGAUGUGUAUGGAUAACAAAUAUUAGUAGUUUUAUUUGUUGAUAGCUGUGCAUGGAUAACAAAUAGUUAUUUUUCAAAUUGUUAUG